GGGAAAGUAGCUUAGUCCGGCUUAAAGCAGUCGCCUGUCCAGCGAAAGAUCGUCGGUUCAAAUCCGUCCAUUCCCG
rnacentral:tRNA from 1 species